rfam:Hordeum vulgare subsp. vulgare, WGS project CAJW01000000 data, contig: morex_contig_1559297
AAGAUACUCCCUCCGUCCCAAAAUUCUUGUCUUAGAUGUUUUUAGAUAUGGAUGCAUUUAAAUAGUAAAACGUGACUAGAUACAUCCAUAUCUACAAAUUCAAGACAAUAAUUUUGAGACGGAGGGAGUAUAUG